rnacentral:tRNA from 1 species
GGGUUGGUAGCUCAGUUGGUAGAGCAGUGCCCUUUUAAGGCAUUGGUCGUGGGUUCGAGUCCCACCCAACCCACCA